rnacentral:rRNA from 1 species
GACGUAGGGCGCGAGCGUUGUCCGGAUUUAUUGGGCGUAAAGAGCUCGUAGGCGGCUUGUCGCGUCGACUGUGAAAUCCCGCGGCUCAACUGCGGGUCUGCAGUCGAUACGGGCAGGCUAGAGUUCGGUAGGGGAGACUGGAAUUCCUGGUGUAGCGGUGAAAUGCGCAGAUAUCAGGAGGAACACCGGGUGGCGAAGGCGGGUCUCUGGGGCCGAUACUGACGCUGAGGAGCGAAAGCGUGGGGAGCGAACAGG